rnacentral:lncRNA from 1 species
AGCUCAAGAUACAACCACUAGUAAAUCAGAUCACUUACUACCUUUAGAUUGCAUGCAUUGACUUCAAAGUCCAAUAACUCCUUCACUUCAACUUAGAAUCUAGUAAGCAGUAUAUGAAAAGUGUAGCCGUAAAAGUGUUGUCUCUAGUCGCGGUCGCCGAUCCUCAAUUGCUAUGUGUACGCGUGUGUUAUGCUAAAAAGAGUGACAGUAGCUCUCAAAUCAACACCUUAACUUUGAGCGCCUAUAUCUCCUUCA